rnacentral:rRNA from 1 species
UACGAAGGGGGCUAGCGUUGCUCGGAAUCACUGGGCGUAAAGGGCGCGUAGGCGGACUCUUAAGUCGGGGGUGAAAGCCCAGGGCUCAACCCUGGAAAUUGCCUUCGAUACUGAGAGUCUUGAGUUCGGAAGAGGUUGGUGGAACUGCGAGUGUAGAGGUGAAAUUGUAGAUAUUCGCAAAGAACACCAGUGGCGAAGGCGGCCAACUGGUCCGAUACUGAACGCUGAGGCGCGACAGCG